UCGACUCUCGCGGGAGAGAUCGGGGCUUUCGGGCCCCGGAGCCGAAGGCGCAACCGCCCCGGAAACGCUCAGGCAAACGGACCGCGAAAGGCUG
rnacentral:ncRNA from 1 species